rnacentral:rRNA from 1 species
UACAGAGGGUGCGAGCGUUGUUCGGAAUUAUUGGGCGUAAAGGGCGCGUAGGCGGCUUUGCAAGUGACGGGUGAAAUCCCUCGGCUUAACCGAGGAACUGCCUGUCAAACUGCAUGGCUUGAGACCGGGAGAGGUGAGUGGAAUUCCCAGUGUAGCGGUGAAAUGCGUAGAUAUUGGGAGGAACACCAGUGGCGAAGGCGGCUCACUGGACCGGUACUGACGCUGAUGCGCGAAAGCGUGGGGAGCAAACAGG